AUGAACGCUGGCGGCGUGCUUCACACCUGCAAGUCGAACGGUGAACACGGAGCUUGCUCUGUGGGAUCAGUGGCGAACGGGUGAGUAACACGUGAGCAACCUGCCCCUGACUCUGGGAUAAGCGCUGGAAACGGCGUCUAAUACUGGAUAUGUGACGUGACCGCAUGGUCUGCGUUUGGAAAGAUUUUUCGGUUGGGGAUGGGCUCGCGGCCUAUCAGCUUGUUGGUGAGGUAAUGGCUCACCAAGGCGUCGACGGGUAGCCGGCCUGAGAGGGUGACCGGCCACACUGGGAUUGAGACACGGCCCAGACUCCUACGGGAGGCAGCAGUGGGGAAUAUUGCACAAUGGGCGAAAGCCUGAUGCAGCAACGCCGCGUGAGGGAUGACGGCCUUCGGGUUGUAAACCUUUUUUAGCAGGGAAGAAGCGAAAGUGACGGUACCUGCAGAAAAAGCGCCGGCUAACUACGUG
rnacentral:rRNA from 1 species